rnacentral:misc_RNA from 1 species
GGGAAAAGGCUCAUCAUUUGAGGCAGGAGAUCCAGAAGGCGGGCUAGAAGGCAGCUUCCGCCCGAGCCCAAUUUUCAUCCGCCCGGGACUAUAUAGCUGAAAUUGAAGGGCGGAUGAAAUUCUAUGAGAAUAAACUGGCCGAGCAGGCUCAUGCUCUUGAAGAAGCUCAGGCGCUCCGAGCUGCUGAUGUUGCUCGCCUCACUGAAGAACUCAGAGCGAAAGAAGAAGAGGCAAUGACGAGGGAGGCCGGUGCUUACG